GCCUGGGUGGCUCAGUUUGUUGAGCGUCCGACUUCAGCUCAGGUCAUGAUCUCACAGUUUGUGGGUUCAAGCCCCGCAUCAGGCU
rnacentral:tRNA from 1 species